CUGGCAUUGACCGGCAUGGGAGGGACUGCAGACAGACGGACAGGGUUUUCAACUGUGCUACAUGAAGAGAGACAUUUGCUGAGCCUGCUCUGGUAUUAGAACGCUCGUUUGCAGACUCUGGCAGGACAAAAAUGACGGGAACACGAGACGUCAAGCAGAUCACGGCGUGCGCGCGCAUGCGCGGUAGCGAGCGGCUGCCUCGACCGACAGCAGGUUCAGAUUUCUACCGAACGAUCAAAUAUGAACACUAAAUGCAAUUACCAUCAACUGGGUCAUGGAAAACAUUGUUUUCAUCUGCAAAGCUUCUGGUGCCUGAAAUAUUCCCGUAAUCAAAAAUCGGUCCUUCUAGCAGGGUCACUAUGUCGAUUCGGUUAAUUUUGGUCAAGACCGAAGUUAAGGCAUCAGCUGAAAAGGAGAGAAAAAAAGGUUGAGAACCCAGUGGCAUCAUUUCCCGCAAGUUUACACAACAUCCAACCAAAGCAUGGCUUCUGCAACGCUGUCAGCAUUUCAGCUCCCCGCUGUAGCUCUGCUAGAUCCCUAUCCAGAAUGCUGGCUGCCCCAGGGAAGAGCCCUACUUUAAAGCUGACUAUGGAGGUCACAGUAUGCACCCCACCGGGACAGGACAGAUGGUCUUCAAACACCUGUACUCCACUAAGGGACCUAACACAGAUUCAAGUUCCCUGGACUCACCUCAUCCUAAUAUUCAGUGCUUUACGUUUUAAUCAACUACCAAGGUCAGGCUGACCGGGCAGAUCCUCAGUAAUUUACCCCAUGUUGUAGUGGGUGAGCACUGGGUGUUUUGAACUCUUUGCCACCUUCUGCCCAAAUCUAAUGGUAGCAGAGGAUUCUCCGCUGCCCCAGACUGGAUGCAGCUUGCUAACUCCCCUAGUUGUAGCCCAUUCCUCUCUGCACUUCCCUUCACCCCUGCCCCUGGAUGGAGCCAUAAUUUCAAAAUGUUUUUGAUGACCAUCCCGUGACAAGAGAGUUAGUGUUUCUCCCCCAGUUUUAGUAGACACAUGGGAAGAAGGCCAAACAAAGUGCACACUAUUUCCUGCCUCUUGCUUUCCCCGAAAGCUUAAACAGGAUUCUAGGACACCAGCACUUACUAAACAAGCGCCACUCUAGACUCUCUCUAACUCCUCCUCCCUGCUACCUAAAAUUACAGAACGCUGGAAAUCCUAGAAUGAGCCCAACAGCAGAUUUAUCUAAGCUACUGACCCUGUGGGGUUUUGAAAAUUAAAAUAAAUAAU